rnacentral:rRNA from 1 species
GACAGAGGGUGCAAACGUUGUUCGGAAUUACUGGGCGUAAAGCGCGUGUAGGCGGUCUGCUAAGUCGGGUGUGAAAGCCCUGGGCUCAACCCAGGAAGUGCACUCGAAACUGGUAGGCUAGAGUACUGGAGAGGUUGGUGGAAUUCUCGGUGUAGAGGUGAAAUUCGUAGAUAUCGAGAGGAACACCGGUGGCGAAGGCGGCCAACUGGACAGAUACUGACGCUGAGUGAGCGAAAGCCAGGGGAGCAAACGGG